rnacentral:rRNA from 1 species
ACUCAAAUGAAUAGACGGGGGCCCGCACAAGCAGUGGAGCAUGUGGUUUAAUUGGAUGCUACGCCAAGAACCUUACCAAGACUUGACUUCCCAGUGUAAUCCCGUAGAAAUAUGGGACCCCUUCGGGCACUGGUGACAGGUGGUGCAUGGUUGUCGUCAGCUCGUGCCGUGAGGUGUUGGAUUAAGUUCCGCAACGAGCGCAACCCUCGUGUUUAGUUGCCAUCAUUAAGUUGGGCACUCUAGACAGACUGCCGGCGUCAAGCCGGAGGAAGGUGGGGAUGACGUCAAAUCAUCAUGCCCCUUACGUCUUGGGCUACACACGUGCUACAAUGGGCGAUACAACGGGUUGCCACACCGCGAGGUGGAGCGAAUCCUUCAAAGUCGUCCUCAGUUCGGAUUGUAGGCUGCAACUCGCCUGCAUGAAGCUGGAAUUGCUAGUAACCGUGCAUCAGCAUGGCGCGGUGAAUACGUACCCGGGCCUUGUACACACCGCCCGU